CGGGAUGUAGCGCAGCCUGGUUAGCGCACUAGUCUGGGGGACUAGGGGUCGGAGGUUCAAAUCCUCUCAUCCCGA
rfam:Desulfobulbaceae bacterium BRH_c16a BRHa_1005414, whole genome shotgun sequence.